GACGAACGCUGGCGGCGUGCUUAACACAUGCAAGUCGAACGAAGUGGCGAACGGGUGAGUAACGCGUAAUCAACCUGCCCUUCAAGGGGGGACAACACUUGGAAACGACUGCUAAUCCCGCAUACUGAAGGAGGGGAUUGCGUGGGAUUAGCUAGUUGGAGGGGUAACGGCCCACCAAGGCGAUGAUCAGUAGCCGGUCUGAGAGGAUGAACGGCCAAAUUGGGACUGGGACACGGCCCAGAAUUCUACGGGAGGCAGCAGUGGGGAAUCUUCCGCAAUUGACGAAAGUCUGACGGAGCAACGCCGCGUGAGUGAUGACGGCCUUCGGGUUGUAAAGCUCUGUUAAUCGGGACGCGGUACCGGAAUAGAAAGCCACGGCUAACUACGUGCCAGCCGCCGCGGUAAUUC
rnacentral:rRNA from 1 species